rnacentral:rRNA from 1 species
AUUGAACUCUGGCGGCAGGCCUAACACAUGCAAGUCGAGCGCGUGUCGGACGGGUGAGUAAUGUCUGGGAAACUGCCUGAUGGAGGGGGAUAACUACUGUAAACGGUAGCUAAUACCCCAUACCAUCAGAUGUGCCCCCAUGGGAUUAGCUCGUAGGUGGGGUAACGGAUCACCUAGGCGACGCUCCCUAGCUGGUCUGAGAGGAUGACCAGCCACACUGGAACUGAGACACGGUCAAGACUCCUACGGGAGGCAGCAGUGGGGAAUAUUGCACAAUGGGCGCAAGCCUGAUGCAGCCAUGCCGCGUGUGUGAAGAAGGCCUUCGGGUUGUAAAGCACUUGCAGCGGGGAGGCGUUACCCGCAGAAGAAGCACCGGCUAACUCCGUGCCAGCAGCCGCGGUAAUUC